UCAGGGUCGGUUUUAAUUUUAUGCUGGCAUAGAGUGGGACUAAUGCCCUUAAGAUCAUCGAGAGUAUAUCCAAUAGCAGCAUGGUGCUUCCUCAGAGUUUUCAAUAAUUUCUUUUCUUCAUGCUCUGAAAGGCUAGCACUAAUAAUAACAGGAUAUAUCUAUUUUUCAUCAAGAUAAGCAUACUUAAGAGUAUCAGGUAACUGUUUAAGCUCAAACACAGGAUCACCCUUUGGUGGGGGUGGAUCUCCAAGUAGUUCAAUAGGCAAAUUAUUCUUAAGGAUGGGAUGUUGUUCAAAGAUAACUCUAUCUAUCUCAUUCCUUUCAUCCAUAUGCAUAUCAUUUUCAUAGUCAAGCAAGUAUUGCUCUAAAGGAUCGGUAGGAGGCACAACAAUAGAAGCUAG
rnacentral:lncRNA from 1 species